UUGCUAGAGAUCCCUAUAUACCUGAGGCCUUCCAAGGGGCUUUGUCACACAGCGCUCUACCAAAGAGAUUCUUGAAGAUGCCAAAGUCUGUUCUGUCAUAGUAUGGAGUAGUGAGAACGCUGUGUGGGUUCUUUGCUGCUUUAAGAAUCUUGAAUACUGCCAUUUCAUAGUCAGCACUGGCAAAGUUGCCCUUGAGCAGUACGUUCCUCACCAGUUCCUCCACACUGGUGAAAAAAACGGUCCAGCACAGAACCUCUCCUCAUUGGCUUCUAUAUCACUUGGAGAAGGAAGUUAUCACCAACAUAGUCCACGAAAACUCUGAAUAUGCCUUGCUGUGUUGCUCCUCCAUCACUUAUUGGGUAGUGAAAGUCUCCCACGAGGACCAGAGCUUGUAAAAACAAUGCUGCUCCUAUUUAUAUUGUAUAUUUUGUCAGAAAUGUUAAAAACAUUGGUGUAUGUUAGAAAAGUAUUUAUGAACUACACUGUGAAGCAUGUUUUGAAUAUUUAUAUUUUAGAGAUAAAAUUCUGACUUCACUUUGCUCUCUAAAUAGAUUAAUUUGGGCUCCUUGUAUAAACCAUUAUAUUGCUUUCUUAUCAGUAGCUACUUUUAAUCGUGAAAAACAUUUGGAGAAUUUAGACUUUUUUUUUUCUAUUACUUUUACCUUUUUACUCAUCAUUGGUCAUACUUACAGGUAGUUCAAAUUUUUCACUCUCUUUUGCUCUUUUUGCAUGUGAAAAUAAUUUCCGACUACACUUCUUGAAAGGCCAAUAUCAGCAUAUAAACAGAUAUGAAAUACUAUGGUGCUAUGUGAUUAUAUGAAGCAAACAAUAAUAAACUCAGGCACAUUGUUGAAAUUUCACAGCAAGUGUUGGGAUUACAACAGACUGUAAACCUCUCUAUGACAGUGUCAUAUUUUUGUAGGAACAGAUUGCUGUUCAAGGAAAAAUUAAUUCAUAUGUAUUGCAUACUAUCAGAAAACCUAGGAACUGUUUUCCAUGAUCACACACAGAAAAGUAACUUUAUAAUCAAAUGCUAAGUCUGGUUUUCAAAUCUAGACGUAAAAACAAUGUUGACAAUUUGCAUAAAUAAUGCUUUAUUUUUAAAAUAUUUUAACUCUGAAAAGACAACACUGACUGUUUUGUGUUUCUCAGUGAUGUCCAUUUAUUUUCAUUUAGCACAUGCAGUGCACAAAGCUAGAAGACAUUAAAAAAUGCAACAUUACUAUGAAUAUGCUAGAGUAAUACAAAAAUCUGUUCUUAUAUAGAAUAUAAAUCACUCAUAAAGGGUAAUAAUUAUUUAGAGACUUGCUAAGGAAUUUCAGAGAAGGUAUUCAUUCAAAAUAGUUUCAGUGAUGCCUAUAUAUUUAAUAUGAAUUGAAUCAUUGGAAUUCUGUAGACAGUGAGUCUCAUAAUAA
ensembl:lncRNA